AUUGAACGCUGGCGGCAUGCUUUACACAUGCAAGUCGAACGGCAGCGCGGGUGCUUGCACCUGGUGGCGAGUGGCGAACGGGUGAGUAAUGCACCGGAACGUACCCAGUAAUGGGGAUAACACAUCGAAAGAUGUGCUAAUACCGCAUACGCCCUGAGGGGGAAAGCGGGGGAUCGUAAGACCUCGCGUUAUUGGAGCGG
rnacentral:rRNA from 1 species